AUGGGAGUUAACUUCCAUCGUCGAAAGGGAAACAACCCAGACCACCAGCUAAGGUCCCAAAUCAUAUCUAAGUGGGAAAGGAGGUGGAGAUUCUUAAACAACUAGGAGGUUGGCUUAGAAGCAGCCAUUCCUUGAAAGAGUGCGUAAUAGCUCACUAGUCGAGAGUCUCUGCGCCGACAAUGUAACGGGGCUAAGAUAUGAACCGAAGCUGUGGAUGUCGUAAGACAUGGUAGGAGAGCGUUCUGUAGGCCGU
rnacentral:rRNA from 1 species